AUGGGAUGGUGCCUCUGUGAUCAACGGGCCUGGCAGAGGGAUGCAGGAGGGGAGCUUUCCUCCAUGCUGAGCAAGCUGGCAGUAACUAAGGCCCUGCUGGGCGCAUCCCUAGUGCCUUCUGCCCAGACCUCGGGACCCCCAGGGAUCCUGGCCCCUGUGGACGGGGACUUUUGUGCUCUCCUUCACUGUUACCAGCGAGAAGGCUUGAAGAGGCAGAACACCCGAGAGGAGUCUGGGGCCACCACCCAGCGUCACUGUGGGAAAACGGCAGCAGGAAAUGUCCUCUCACCCGUGUGCUUCACCUCUGUCCACACCUUCCCUCCUUCUGGAAGCCUUGCCUGACCACUGGCCUGCCCCUUCUAUGGGAAUUGCUGCUGACCUUGCAGCUCACUGUAGACUUAUAUGUAUGCAGAAAUAUAAUUUUAAUUACUUUUGUAUUGCUCCAAGAGUGAUACCGAAUCACAACAGAAAAUUUAAAUAAACAAAAUAGCCAAAUUAUUACA
rnacentral:lncRNA from 1 species